GACUUCAGGCUCAGAUCUGCAGAUCAGAGUCUGGAACAGGCAUUUUUACACUGCCGUGAACCGAUUGGUUAGACUGCAUAAAUUAACCAAUCGGAUUGAUUGCCAGUAAGGGACCACUCUGAUUGGUCCCUUGCCGGCAUUACUGAACUGUAUGCUGUCCGUGAC